GACGAACGCUGGCGGCGUGCUUAACACAUGCAAGUCGAACGGUGAACGAGGGAGCUUGCUCCCUCCGGGUCAGUGGCGAACGGGUGAGUAACACGUGAGCAAUCUGCUCCGAACUCUGGGAUAAGCGUUGGAAACGACGUCUAAUCCCGGAUACGACGCGGGAGGGCAUCCUCUCCUGGUGGAAAGCACCUCGGUUCGGGAUGGGCUCGCGGCCUAUCAGCUUGUUGGUGGGGUAACGGCUCACCAAGGCUACGACGGGUAGCCGGCCUGAGAGGGUGACCGGCCACACUGGGACUGAGACACGGCCCAGACUCCUACGGGAGGCAGCAGUGGGAAAUAUUGCACAAUGGGCGCAAGCCUGAUGCAGCAACGCCGCGUGAGGGACGACGGCCUUCGGGUUGUAAACCUCUUUUAGCAGGGAAGAAGCGAAAGUGACGGUACCUGCAGAAAAAGCACCGGCUAACUACGUG
rnacentral:rRNA from 1 species